rnacentral:rRNA from 1 species
ACGAACGCUGGCGGCGUGCUUAACACAUGCAAGUCGAACGGAAAGGCCCUGCUUUUGUGGGGUGCUCGAGUGGAGAACGGGUGAGUAACACGUGAGUAACCUGCCCUUGACUUUGGGAUAACUUCAGGAAACUGGGGCUAAUACCGGAUAGGAGCUCCUGCUGCAUGGUGGGGGUUGGAAAGUUUCGGCGGUUGGGGAUGGACUCGCGGCUUAUGAGCUUGUUGGUGGGGUAGUGGCUUACCAAGGCUUUGACGGGUAGCCGGCCUGAGAGGGUGACCGGCCACAUUGGGACUGAGAUACGGCCCAGACUCCUACGGGAGGCAGCAGUGGGGAAUAUUGCACAAUGGUCGGAAGCCUGAUGCAGCAACGCCGCGUGCGGGAUGACGGCCUUCGGGUUGUAAACCGCUUUCGCCUGUGACGAAGCGUGAGUGACGGUAAUGGGUAAAGAAGCACCGGCUAACUACGUG